GACCACGUGACCUAACAGCUAAGGCGUCUGACUUCGGAUCAGACAAUUGAGGGCUCAAGUCCCUUCACGGUUG
rfam:Chelonia mydas contig76985, whole genome shotgun sequence.